rnacentral:rRNA from 1 species
AUUGAACGCUGGCGGCAUGCCUAACACAUGCAAGUCGAACGAGUGGCGGACGGGUGAGUAAUGUCUGGGAAACUGCCUGAUGGAGGGGGAUAACUACUGGAAACGGUAGCUAAUACCGCAUACCAUCGGAUGUGCCCAGAUGGGAUUAGCUAGUAGGUGGGGGAACGGCUCACCAAGGCGACGAUCCCUAGCUGGUCUGAGAGGAUGACAAGCCACACUUGAACUGAGAAACGGUCCAGACUCCUACGGGAGGCAGGAGGGGGGAAUAUUGGACAAUGGGCGAAAGCCGGAUGCAGCCAUGCCGCGUGUAUGAAGAAGGCCUUCGGGUUGUAAAGUACUUUCAGCGGGGAGGCGUUACCCGCAGAAGAAGCACCGGCUAACUCCGUGCCAGCAGCCGCGGUAAUUC